rnacentral:rRNA from 1 species
AUUGAACGCUGGCGGCAGGCCUAACACAUGCAAGUCGAGCGAGCGGCGGACGGGUGAGUAAUGUCUGGGAAACUGCCUGAUGGAGGGGGAUAACUACUGUAAACGGUAGCUAAUACCCCACACCCUCAUAUGUGCCCAGAUGGGAUUAGCUAGUCGGUGGGGUAACGGCUCACCUAGGCGACGAUCCCUAGCCGGUCUGAGAGGAUGACCAGCCACACUGGGACUGAGACACGGUCCAGACUCCUACGGGAGGCAGCAGUGGGGAAUAUUGCACAAUGGGCGCAAGCCUGAUGCAGCCAUGCCGCGUGUGUGAAGAAGGCCUUCGGGUUGUAAAGCACUUUCAGCGGGGAGGCGUUACCCGCAGAGGAAGCACCGGCUAACUCCGUGCCAGCCGCCGCGGUAAUUC